UGAAACAACUUGUUGGGUUUUAUAUA
rnacentral:piRNA from 1 species